AUUGAACGCGGGCGGCAGGCUUAACACAUGCAAGUCGAGCGGAGAUGAGGUGCUUGCACCUUAUCUUAGCGGCGGACGGGUGAGUAAUGCUUAGGAAUCUGCCUAUUAGUGGGGGACAACAUUCCGAAAGGAAUGCUAAUACCGCAUACGUCCUACGGGAGAAAGCAGGGGAUCUUCGGACCUUGCGCUAAUAGAUGAGCCUAAGUCGGAUUAGCUAGUUGGUGGGGUAAAGGCCUACCAAGGCGACGAUCUGUAGCGGGUCUGAGAGGAUGAUCCGCCACACUGGGACUGAGACACGGGCCAGAGUCCUACGGGAGGCAGAAGUGGGGAAUAUUGGACAAUGGGGGAAACCCUGAUCCAGCCAUGCGGCGUGUGUGAAGAAGGCCUUAUGGUUGUAAAGCACUUUAAGCGAGGAGGAGGCUACUGAGACUAAUACUCUUGGAUAGUGGACGUUACUCGCAGAAUAAGCACCGGCUAACUCUGUGCCAGCCGCCGCCGUAAAAC
rnacentral:rRNA from 1 species